UAGACCUAUCAGACGCACAAUUAGAGUUUCAUGCCAGAACUCUGUAUGUAUAUAUAUAUAUUUUUAUUCAGUAUUUACUUUGUAUUCAGUUUUGGUGACAAUAUAACAUUUGCAUAAUGUUACAAAAAAACUAUCUCAAAUAAAUUCUUUGCAUCACAGGAAUAAAGAACAUUUAUUUAAACAUUCUUAAAAUAGAAAAGUUAUUGGAAAUUGUAACAAUAUAUUACAAUAUUACUGUUUUAAAAACAUAAAAAAUGUAACUAUUCCAAACAUUUGGCCUAUAUUGUAUGUUUGUGCUAAACUAUGUACGAACGUUGAAGCUAUUCUGGGUGAAUAGUUCAUUUCCGUGGUCAUAUUUCCUGCAGAGUUGUGUAUUCAUAUCUGUUCUGAAAGAGUCCUCUAUCCGCUCUCACACCUCAGCUCCAGAUUCUACUGGCUGCCUCUCGUGUUCAUUGCUCUGCAGUCUUCAGCCUCCGACAGCAGCACAGAUGAAAAGCAUGAGGCAUAUAGUGAUUCUGAUGACUCUCAUAAGUGCUGCGUUCGCUGCUCCAUUUGUGAAAGGGGAGCAGGCCAAGAAAUUUUUACGUCUAAAGAAACAGUCCGGCUACUGGGACCCCAACAAUGCCCAGAACCAGUUUGGUUACACCAUACAGGAGCAGUGAGACCAAUAGGCUCUACAUGGACAUGCUGAGGAACGUAAGAGCACAGUUGGAUGCACACACAGGCCAGCAGUGAUGGAUAUGGACAGAAACGAUUGACUGAUGAAGUCAAUGGCGAGUGCUGAGGCAGCUUUGCUGAUCUCAGGGUUGUGAGCAGGGCAGAGCCAAUUUUUAGCAAAGAGUUCUCUUAGAGAUUGCAGUUAGGUUGCAGGAAUGCUGUUUAGUGUAGUGUAAAGCGCUUGUACAGUACGGAAGUCUUAAACAUAGCAUGAAGGAAUCCAUUAUCAGUGGAAUGUAUUGGAUAAAGAAAAGCGACUGGCAAAUGCUUUGUAAAAAUAUUUAUUUUUUAUUUUUUAUAUACUUUUGAAUGCAAAAAGUUGACUUUAAAAGUGAUUUAUGUUGUUUUUCCCCAUUUUUUUUAUUUCCACAAAUUCUUAUAUUUGAACAUUUAUUUAUUUACAUAUUUUUUGAAUUCAUUUUAAAUGGCCCUUACAGCUUAACACAGAUGAUACGAUGUGUCAAUCUGUAAUAGCAAACUGUUUUAAACUAUUGUAAACAAUAUUUAUAAAUAAAUAAACAUUUUUGAAUUGUUAUGCA
ensembl:lncRNA